GAUGAAGAACGCAGCGAAAUGCGAUAAGUAGUGUGAAUUGCAGAAUUCAGUGAAUCAUCGAAUCUUUGAACGCAUCUUGCGCUCCUUGGUAUUCCGAGGAGCAUGCCUGUUUGAGUGUCAUUAAAUUCUCAACUCUCCUAUACUUUGUUGUAAAGGAGGGCUUGGAUUGUGGAGGCUUGCUGGCCGCUUGAUGUGGUCAGCUCCUCUGAAAUGCAUUAGCAGAACUGUUUGCGAUCUGCCACAAGUGUGAUAAAUUAUCUACACUGGCGAGGGGAUUGCUCUCUGUGUUCAGCUUCUAAUCGUCUUCAGUGACAAUUUCUUGAAUGCUUGACCUCAAAUCAGGUAGGACUACCCGCUGAACUUAAGCAUAUCAAUAAGCGGAGGA
rnacentral:misc_RNA from 1 species